CCUACGGGAGGCUGCAGUGGGGAAUAUUGGACAAUGGGCGAAAGCCUGAUCCAGCAAUGCCGCGUGAGUGAUGAAGGCCUUAGGGUUGUAAAGCUCUUUUACCAGGGAUGAUAAUGACAGUACCUGGAGAAUAAGCGCCGGCUAACUCCGUGCCAGCAGCCGCGGGAAUACGGAGGGAGCGAGCGUUGUUCGGAAUUACUGGGCGUAAAGCGCACGUAGGCGGUUUUCAAGUCAGGGGUGAAAGCCCGGAGCUCAACUCCUGACUUGCCCUUGAAACUGGAUGACUAGCAUCUUGGAGAGGUCAGUGGACUUCCGAGUGUAGAGGUGAAAUUCGUAGAUAUUCGGAAGAACACCAGUGGCGAAGGCGACUGACUGGACAAGUAUUGACGCUGAGGUGCGAAAGCGUGGGGAGCAAACAGGAUUAGAUACCCCAGUAGUC
rnacentral:rRNA from 1 species